GGGCAGUUAGUUCAGUGGUAGAACGCUUCCUUGACACGGAAGAGGUCAGUGGUUCAAUCCCACUACCGCCCA
rnacentral:tRNA from 1 species